UGAUUAUCAACAUCGGAUUAUCUGAUUAAAAAUAGUGUUAGGGUUUAUGUAUUUCGAUUUUUUCUGAUUUACUAGAGUUACUUUUAUAUUUUGUUUUGGACGCAGCCUAAAAUACUCUUGGCGAUUGGAUGUGGCCAGAUUCCCGUACAUUUCUUGGAUAGUAUGCCUUGCUAAUACAUCAACGGGGCAGUUGCGUGCAAGGAGGAUUGCCAAGCUAAAGAAACAUGAAUGCAAAAUCGGUGUAGACGAUGUUAUGUACAUGCUAAUCUGCUGCAACUUCUUCGACCUUAAAGUCCAUCUAAUUCCCACGUAUUUCAAAGCGUAUUUACAACAAUAGACUAGAAGUCCUUUCAUCAAAGGACUGGGAACUCGAGUCAAUCCAUAGUUUUGAGAUCCUUGAAAUGAUAAAGGAGCACCUAACAUCUGUUAUUGGAUUGAGAUCAGAUUUUAGUGUCACUGACAAUUUGGCAACCACCAAAAGCAAGCAUCGUGAUCUUUGGAGUAGUAGUUAUUAGAUACCAAUACUAUUUAUUUUAUAUCGAAGCACAUUUUUAAUUUAAGAACUAUGAUAAUCUAUUUGAAAAUUUAGUGCAAAAUACUUUGUUCUCAUA